UUUUAUGAGAGUUUGAUCCUGGCUCAGGACGAACGCUGGCGGCGUGCCUAAUACAUGCAAGUCGAACGCUUCUUUUUCCACCGGAGCUUGCUCCACCGGAAAAAGAGGAGUGGCGAACGGGUGAGUAACACGUGGGUAACCUGCCCAUCAGAAGGGGAUAACACUUGGAAACAGGUGCUAAUACCGUAUAACAAUCAAAACCGCAUGGUUUUGAUUUGAAAGGCGCUUUCGGGUGUCGCUGAUGGAUGGACCCGCGGUGCAUUAGCUAGUUGGUGAGGUAACGGCUCACCAAGGCCACGAUGCAUAGCCGACCUGAGAGGGUGAUCGGCCACAUUGGGACUGAGACACGGCCCAAACUCCUACGGGAGGCAGCAGUAGGGAAUCUUCGGCAAUGGACGAAAGUCUGACCGAGCAACGCCGCGUGAGUGAAGAAGGUUUUCGGAUCGUAAAACUCUGUUGUUAGAGAAGAACAAGGAUGAGAGUAACUGUUCAUCCCUUGACGGUAUCUAACCAGAAAGCCACGGCUAACUACGUGCCAGCAGCCGCGGUAAUACGU
rnacentral:rRNA from 1 species